UACGUAGGGUUCAAGCGUUGUCCGGAAUUAUUGGGCGUAAAGAGCUCGUAGGCGGUUAGUCGCGUCUGCUGUGAAAACUCGGGGCUUAACUCCGGGCCUGCAGUGGGUACGGGCUGACUAGAGUGCGGUAGGGGAGACUGGAAUUCCUGGUGUAGCGGUGAAAUGCGCAGAUAUCAGGAGGAACACCGGUGGCGAAGGCGGGUCUCUGGGACGGUACUGACGCUGAGACGCGAAAGCGUGGGGAGCAAACAGG
rnacentral:rRNA from 1 species